GAUGAACGCUGGCGGCGUGCUUAACACAUGCAAGUCGAACGAAGACAUCUGAGUGCUUGCACUUGGAUGGACUGAGUGGCGGACGGGUGAGUAACGCGUGGGUAACCUGCCUUAUACAGGGGGAUAACAGUUGGAAACGACUGCUAAUACCGCAUAAGCGCACGGUAUCGCAUGAUACAGUGUGAAAAACUCCGGUGGUAUAAGAUGGACCCGCGUCUGAUUAGCUUGUUGGUGAGGUAACGGCCCACCAAGGCGACGAUCAGUAGCCGGCCUGAGAGGGUGAACGGCCACAUUGGGACUGAGACACGGCCCAAAACUCCUACGGGAGGCAGCAGUGGGGAAUAUUGCACAAUGGGGGAAACCCUGAUGCAGCGACGCCGCGUGAGUGAUGAAGUAUUUCGGUAUGUAAAACUCUAUCAGCAGGGAAGAUAAUGACGGUACCUGACUAAGAAGCACCGGCUAAAUACGUGCCAGCAGCCGCGGU
rnacentral:rRNA from 1 species